rnacentral:lncRNA from 1 species
UUAUAUCUUAAAACUGAUUCUACUUAUCCAAGUUAUAGACAGAGUCACUGUACAAGAGGUUAUCAGACUUGUUCUGGAACAGUUCUUGGAAAGUUAUGAGUAGCUGGCAGGACUUGCAGCCCACAUACUCAGGAAAGGCUGUUACAUCAAGUCAACAACAUCUGUAGUCAUCACUGUAGCAUGUUACCAUCACAGAAGAUGAGAGUCUCUUCAUCAUGCAGCAAAGCAUAGAAGGAGGUAGGACACCUGGAUGGAGAGGUAAGACACCUGGAUGAGGCUGUGUGGUGUCCUUGCCCUAAGAGAAUGUGUCUGGGU